rnacentral:rRNA from 1 species
UACGGAGGGUGCAGGCGUUAUCCGGAUUUACUGGGUUUAAAGGGUGUGUAGGCGGAUUAUUAAGUCAGCGGUGAAAUCUCCGAGCUCAACUCGGAAACUGCCAUUGAUACUAUUAGUCUUGAAUAUUGUUGAGGUGGGGGGAACGGGUCAUGUAGCGGUGAAAUGCAUAGAUAUGGCCAGGAACACCGAUUGCGAAGGCAGCCCACUAAGCCAUGAUUGACGCUGAGGCGCGAAAGCGUGGGGAUCAAACAGG